UACAGAGGCCUCGAGCGUUAGGCGGAAUCACUGGGCUUAAAGCGUGUGUAGGCGGAAUGGUAAGUACCUUGUGAAAUCCCACGGCUCAACCGUGGAACUGCUUGGUAUACUGCUUUUCUUGAGCCACUUAGGGGCAACCGGAACAAACGGUGGAGCGGUGAAAUGCGUAGAUAUCGUUUGGAACGCCAAUGGUGAAAACAGGUUGCUGGGAGUGUGCUGACGCUGAGACACGAAAGCCAGGGGAGCAAACGGG
rnacentral:rRNA from 1 species